rnacentral:lncRNA from 1 species
UUCCUGGAUUUACUGACAAAAUAUGUAGCACAGGUAACUAUAACGCAGCAUCACUGUCAUCACGUAUCCCAUUGUCUCAUUACCAUAGAUUCUAAAAUCAAUUCAAACAAAAAAAUGUUGUCUUACUAAUUUUUAUCUCCACUUUCUUAUAUUGCUUAUCUGAUUAAUGCUACAAAUUAAAAAAAAUGUUGUGUAUAAGUGCCUAGUUUCCCUAGAUCAAUGUGUGAGAGCUAAACCUGUUGAUUAUGAUAACAUUAAUUAGUGUUUAUAAAUCCGGCUUAAGGACGUUCGCUGCUCAGUAUCAAAAUAAAUUGAUUUCCAUGACACAAGUAUAUAUUUAAGUGGUUUAAAUAAAGUAGUAUACCGCUGUUCAAAACUCGUAAAUCUAUGGACAAACAACAAAAUCGGGAUAACAAUCUAAAACUGAGGGAAACGCAUUAAAUAAUUGAGGAAUAAAAAAAGCAAAUAAGAUAUAGGUGUCAAUGUUCUUGUUUUCGAGAUAUUAGCCAUUGAAAUUUUGUCGGGAAAAUGUUCUCUCUUGAUUUUACAUAGCUUUAUCAUUGACUAGUAAAAGUUCUCAAAAAGUAUUAAACAAUAAAUAAGAUUUUAUAAGAAUUUCACAAAUGGCUUAUAAUUAACCAUGUAAAAAUUAAUAAAAAGAGAAACGGGGGUUCAUGGGGAAAAUUUGUUAGACAUUCAAAUUGAUAAAACCAGAGGAUUUCGAAAAUCUGACAAAAAGUCAAAAUUAUGACAAUUAAACAUGAUUAAUGUUCAUUUCAGAUAUCGAUGACUGCUUAUCUAACCCAUGUGAACAUGACGGAAUCUGUAUUGAUCGGGUCAAUAAUUUUCAAUGCAUAUGUCCUCUUGGAUUUACUGGAAAAAACUGUAGCACAGGUAACUUUUAGACAGAUUUUAAGUUUUAAUUUAACUACCAUGCGGCAUAUCUGCAUCAAAAACAAUUUGUUUAGUAUGUUGUCAUUUUUAAAAACACCUUUAUCUGCUUUCAUACUACAGUUUACAAACUGCAAU